rnacentral:rRNA from 1 species
UAGGGAAUCUUCCGCAAUGGGCGAAAGCUUGACGGGGCAACGCCGCGUGAGUGAUGAAGGUCUUCGGAUCGUAAAACUCUGUUAUUAGGGAAGAACAAAUGUGUAAGUAACUAUGCACGUCUUGACGGUACCUAAUCAGAAAGCCACGGCUAACUACGUGCCAGCAGCCGCGGUAAUACGUAGGUGGCAAGCGUUAUCCGGAAUUAUUGGGCGUAAAGCGCGCGUAGGCGGUUUUUUAAGUCUGAUGUGAAAGCCCACGGCUCAACCGUGGAGGGUCAUUGGAAACUGGAAAACUUGAGUGCAGAAGAGGAAAGUGGAAUUCCAUGUGUAGCGGUGAAAUGCGCAGAGAUAUGGAGGAACACCAGUGGCGAAGGCGACUUUCUGGUCUGUAACUGACGCUGAUGUGCGAAAGCGUGGGGAUCAAACAGG